rnacentral:ncRNA from 2 species
AAUUAUUUACGGGGGUAUCGGAUAAGCGUCCGAUUGAGAAUUAAACCCUUUGAACCUGUCGGUUGAUACCGUGGUAGGGAAGUAAAUUUGUAGAAAUU